rnacentral:rRNA from 1 species
GAGUGGCGCACGGGUGAGUAACGCGUACGCAACCUACCUUUAUCAGGGGGAUACACACGGGAAACUGUGGAUAAUCCCGCAUACAAUUUACUGAUGGCAUCAUUGGUAGAUAAAAGCUUAUGCGGAUAGAGAUGGGCGUGCGUCUGAUUAGCUAGUUGGUGAGGUAACGGCUCACCAAGGCGACGAUCAGUAGGGGGCGUGAGAGCGUGAUCCCCCACACGGGUACUGAGACACGGACCCGACUCC